UGUCAAUUUUGUCAGUCUCUGGAUGCUUGC
rnacentral:piRNA from 1 species